rnacentral:rRNA from 1 species
UACGUAGGGUGCGAGCGUUAAUCGGAAUUACUGGGCGUAAAGUGUGCGCAGGCGGCAAAGCAAGUCGAGUGUGAAAUCCCCGGGCUCAACCUGGGAACUGCAUGUCGAACUGUCAGGCUAGAGUAUGGUAGAGGGGUGUGGAAUUUCCUGUGUAGCGGUGAAAUGCGUAGAUAUAGGAAGGAACAUCAGUGGCGAAGGCGACACCCUGGACCGAUACUGACACUGAGGCGCGAAAGCGUGGGUAGCGAUCAGG